rfam:Prauserella sp. Am3 HQ32_scaffold_21.22, whole genome shotgun sequence.
ACACGAGAAAGGAGGUGGUCCGACAGUGAACAGCUAUAGGACUCGUGAGGUGGCUGUCCGCUAGGACGGUAUGCGGACCACCGCGUGCUGCCCGGCGAAUACCAGGCAGUCACCGGCCCCCGACGCUCCCGAGGACCGGUCCACCACGGGCCCGGACGGCUGACGACGUCCGGGAGUCGCGUCGGGGGUUUCCCUCU